rnacentral:rRNA from 1 species
UACGUAGGGGGCCUAGCGUUGUCCGGAAUUAUUGGGCGUAAAGAGCGCGUAGGCGGUCCGAUAAGUCGGCUGUGAAAGUCAGGGGCUCAACCCUUGAAAGCCGGCCGAUACUGUCGGACUAGAGUCCGGAAGAGGCAAGUGGAAUUCCCGGUGUAGCGGUGAAAUGCGCAGAUAUCGGGAGGAACACCAAUGGCGAAGGCAGCUUGCUGGGACGGUACUGACGCUGAGGCGCGAAAGCGUGGGGAGCAAACA